AGUGAACGCUGGCGGUAGGCCUAACACAUGCAAGUCGAACGGCAGCACAGUAAGAGCUUGCUCUUACGGGUGGCGAGUGGCGGACGGGUGAGGAAUACAUCGGAAUCUACUUUUUCGGGGGGGAUAACGUAGGGAAACUUACGCUAAUACCGCAUACGACCUACGGGUGAAAGCAGGGGAUCUUCGGACCUUGCGCGAUUGAAUGAGCCGAUGUCGGAUUAGCUAGUUGGCGGGGUAAAGGCCCACCAAGGCGACGAUGCGUAGCUGGUCUGAGAGGAUGAUCGGCCACACUGGAACUGAGACACGGUCCAGACUCCUACGGGAGGCAGCAGUGGGGAAUAUUCGGCAAUGGGCGCAAGCCUGAUCCAGCCAUACCGCGUGAGUGAAGAAGGCCUUCGGGUUGUAAAGCCCUUUUAUUAGGAAAGAACAGAAGCGGGUUAAUCCCCCGCUGUUCUGACGGUACCCAAAGAGUAAGCCCCGGCUAACUUCGUG
rnacentral:rRNA from 1 species